UACGUAGGGUGCAAGCGUUGUCCGGAAUUAUUGGGCGUAAAGAGCUCGUAGGCGGUCUGUCGCGUCUGCUGUGAAAACCUAGGGCUUAACUCUGGGCGUGCAGUGGGUACGGGCAGACUAGAGUGUGGUAGGGGAGACUGGAAUUCCUGGUGUAGCGGUGAAAUGCGCAGAUAUCAGGAGGAACACCGAUGGCGAAGGCAGGUCUCUGGGCCACUACUGACGCUGAGAAGCGAAAGCAUGGGGAGCGAACAGG
rnacentral:rRNA from 1 species